GGCCUCUUCUCAGGGUGGGCAGACAGUCCACAGACACCUCAGUCCACAAUGCCAUGACACAAAGAAAUAAAUUACAUGCGAGCUCGGACGUCGCCUCGUUAAACAAGCACCGAAAAGCUCUCGGCGUGAGAAGGGAGCAAACUACAUCCCCAACCAGAAGAAGAGUUCCCUCAACCUCUUGCAACUCAACAUCUGUGGUUUGAGGAACAAGAAAACAGAACUCCUCAAAGUACUGAAGGACAGGCAGAUUCAUGUUGCCCUCCUUCAAGAAACCCUACACAAAGGUACGGACCUGAACCUCACAGGAUACACCAGUUACGCCUGCACAUGCACAGGAUGCCGCGAUAUAGUCACUUACCUGCGAAAUGAUGUUCAGGGAGAUGUCGUACACUUAUCAUCUGCCCAACCGACAGAUAUCCAGAAGGCCACCAUAUGGCACAUUGGUAGGAAGUACACACUUUACAAUGUUUACAACCCCCCACAGACAACAUGCGACUUGUCUGAUCUGCAAGCAGCCAGCUACGAAAAAACCAUUUGUGCGGGCGACUUCAAUGGUCACUCUCCAGAAUGGGGCUACGUCAACUAUAACGGCACAGGCCGAAAGAUUGAGGAGCUGUGCGAAACCAGCAACCUAUCUGUAUUACAAGAUGUCAACUCAACUCCUACCUUACUUCACAGAGCCCACUGGACUCUCAGCCGGCCUGAUCUCACCAUCUGCUCAUCCGACAUUAAAAACUCAUGUCGCAUCGAAGUGAUUGAUGACAUAGGAAGUGAUCACAGGCCUAUCUUUAUACAGAUCACCUCCCCACCUGCAUUGAACCACCCUCGGAGAACUCGAUGGAACUUUAAGAAAGCCAACUGGGCAGAAUACGAAAAGGCCUCAGACGAAUUGCUCUCCAGCAUAGCAGAAACAGAAGAUGCUGAUCUUUUUAAUGAACAAGUCACCGAAAAUAUUCUGAAAGCUGCAUCUCAGCACAUUCCAAGGGGAUGCCGAAGAAAUUUCAAACCCUUUUGGAGUGAAGAAAUCCAAACUGCUGUGGCAGAAAUAGAGAAAGCUAGACAGUCAUUGGAAAAAUCACCAUCAACAAUAAACAAAAUACACUACAACAAGACCUGCGCUCAGGUGAAAGUGACAGUUAAAAAAAAGCCAAAAAAGAGAAAUGGACUCAAACCUGCAAAGAUCUCGACCUCCGCCACAAUGGAACAAAGACUUGGUCCCUUGUUAGCAACCUCUCGGGAGAAAGACAAAAAAGCAACCCCAAACCCUUUUUCCUUUCAGGCAGCACCAUCACUGAAGACCAGAAGAAAGCCAAACAUUUUAACCGUUUUUUCGCCUCUGUACUCUGUAAACAGGGCAGGCAGACUAACUGAGGCUGAUUGACUUCUCAUUAAUAGGGCUAAGCAUAAAGAAAAAGCUCCUACUGUGAACAACUCGCUUGUUGAAGAGGAUUAUAGCAUGGUGGGACUCAGUCAGGCCCUCAAAAAGCUAAAGGAAAA